rnacentral:rRNA from 1 species
UACGGAAGGCAGCAGUGGGGAAUAUUGCACAAUGGGCGCAAGCCUGAUGCAGCCAUGCCGCGUGUAUGAAGAAGGCCUUCGGGUUGUAAAGUACUUUCAGUCGUGAGGAAGGUGUUAAGGUUAAUAACCUUAGCAAUUGACGUUAGCGACAGAAGAAGCACCGGCUAACUCCGUGCCAGCAGCCGCGGUAAUACGGAGGGUGCGAGCGUUAAUCGGAAUUACUGGGCGUAAAGGGCACGCAGGCGGUUAAUUAAGUUGGAUGUGAAAUCCCCGGGCUUAACCUGGGAAUGGCAUUCAAGACUGGUUAGCUAGAGUCUUGUAGAGGGGGUAGAAUUCCAUGUGUAGCGGUGAAAUGCGUAGAGAUGUGGAGGAUACCGGUGGCGAAGGCGGCCCCUGGACAAAGACUGACGCUCAUGUGCGAAAGCUGGGGAGCAAAC